rnacentral:RNase_P_RNA from 1 species
UUGGCGGGCCGCGCCGUCGCUCCGCCCGCAAUGAGCGGGCGGGGAGGAAAGUCCGGGCUCACGAGAGCGCAGCGCCGGGUAACUCCCGGGCGUUCCCGAGUCGCAAGACGCGGGAGCGACAGAUAGCGCCACAGAAAACAUACAGCCUGGGGUUCCAAGGUCGGAGGUGAGUAGUCAGCGAGCGAAAGCGAGCGAACUAUGAACCGAAGGCCCGCAGGGCCUUCGGCGAGGGUGAAAAGGCGGGGUAAGAGCCCACCGCAUCGCCGGCGACGGCGAUGGUACGGCAAGCCUCGCUGCGAGCAAGGCCGAGCAGCGAAGGGCGGCUCGCCCUGCGUCUCGCUCCAUCGGAGCUCGACUUCGCGGUUUCCCUAACGGGAGAUCGCGCGCCGGAUUUCGGGGCGCGGGAUGCGAUUCGCGGGUAGGUCGCGCAGACCCGGCGGGCGACCGUCGGGCCAGAUGGAUGACGGCGGCUCCGAAAGGGGUACGGAACCCGGCUUAUAGGCCCGCCUUUUUC